GACGAACGCUGGCGGCGUGCCUAAUACAUGCAAGUCGAACGCACUCUCGUUUAGAUUGAAGGAGCUUGCUCCUGAUUGAUAAACAUUUGAGUGAGUGGCGGACGGGUGAGUAACACGUGGGUAACCUGCCCUAAAGUGGGGGAUAACAUUUGGAAACAGAUGCUAAUACCGCAUAAAACCUAAACACCGCAUGGUGUAGGGUUGAAAGAUGGUUUCGGCUAUCACUUUAGGAUGGACCCGCGGUGCAUUAGUUAGUUGGUGAGGUAAAGGCUCACCAAGACCGUGAUGCAUAGCCGACCUGAGAGGGUAAUCGGCCACACUGGGACUGAGACACGGCCCAGACUCCUACGGGAGGCAGCAGUAGGGAAUCUUCCACAAUGGACGAAAGUCUGAUGGAGCAACGCCGCGUGAGUGAAGAAGGUUUUCGGAUCGUAAAACUCUGUUGUUGGAGAAGAAUGUAUCUGAUAGUAACUGAUCAGUAGUGACGGUAU
rnacentral:rRNA from 1 species